rnacentral:lncRNA from 1 species
GCUGAGCUAAGCCCAGCCCGGCCACUGGCCCAAGCCAGUGGCCCGGCUGGGCUCAGCAGCACUGUGCAAGUGAAUUAAAAUUCACUUGCACAGUGUAAGAGAUGCUUAAUUGAAAAGGAGAGCUUCUUACCUGGUCUGCGAGGCGAUGGAGACGGUGGCGAAGCUCUGGCUGGCCGACUACAUCCUCUGCUCUUCUCCUUCUUCUGCUUUCCUUUGUUUCCUUUUGAUUCUGUGCCCGUAUACUUCAGUCUUCCUGCAGCUCCUGGGAUGAUGAAGGAAACAAUAAUGAAGAGCCGGUUUACUGUGAUGUUCUUUGAAUGAAUACUGGUCUUUCUUUUGUUUGCAGGGACGUCCUCCUCUCAGUCUCUUCCCCUCCGUUCGUCUGCUGUUCCUUUUCUUUUUGUUUUCUCAGUCCUUGCGAUGAAGAACAGAGGACGUUGCUGGCUUCUCCUUUCGAAAUUGGGUCUCGUUCUUUGCUCUGUUUGUGGCUUGCGUUUUAUUGGUUCUUGACUCUGUAUUUCUGGGUUGAAUCUUCAGCCUUGGUUCUGUAUUUUUGGGUUGUGUUUGCGUUGUUCCGGCGACUUUUUUCUGGGUUUUUUGUAUUUGGUUUUCUUAUGCAGGGACGUCUGCAGAGAUGAAGGCAAUAGCGGGAACAAUUCUCUGUGUAUACUGGAUUCCCUUCCUCUCCUUCUCUCUGUGUAUUAUUUCUUUGCUCUGGGUUUUUGCUUUUGUUUUGGCUCCAAUUUUUCUGGGUUGAUUGCUCUGCCUCCACUAUAUGGUUUUUAGUCUCUCAUUUAUAGAGAUUUCCCAAGCUUGCCUCUAAUCAGUCCUACCUUUGCAGGACUGUAUCCUCCACGAACGAGAUCGUGUGCAAAGGACUCGUUCCACGAUUGAAUUUGUUGCAGAUUUUCAGGUCUCCGGUUGAAUCGGGAUAAGAAGAUCACACGGUUGGUCCACCAGCCACGGCAGCGUUUCGGCAGCAACGGACUCCACCAGGAACGGCAACGUUUUCAAGUAACCCGUGGACAGUUUCAGUUUGACCCCCGAACAUUGGACAUUUUGCAAUUGGACCCCUGAGCAAUUAAAACAUUUCUUUUAAUUUUGCCCCCUUUUGGAUAAAUUUCAAUUAAAUCCUUAAAUUGGUGCACUGUUUACAAAACAGUCCUUAAUUCCUGGAUUAUUCAAUUUGGUCCUUAAUUAAUUCUUUCAAUUUUGCCCUUUUUGGAUAAAUUUCAAUUAAG